rnacentral:rRNA from 1 species
AAGUCGAACGGGCCCGCAAGGGUCAGUGGCGCACGGGUACGUAACACGUGAAGAACGUAGCCAUCGGCGGGGGAUAGCCGGCCCAACGGCCGGGUAAUGCCGCGUACGACCUUCGGGUGGCAUCACCUGGGGGUGAAAGCAGCAAUGCACCGAUGGGGCGCUUCGCGGCCUAUCAGCUAGUUGGUGAGGUCACGGCUCACCAAGGCUACGACGGGUAGCUGGUCCGAGAGGAUGACCAGCCACAUUGGGACUGAGACACGGCCCAGACUCCUACGGGAGGCAGCAGUGGGGAAUAUUGCGCAAUGGGGGCAACCCUGACGCAGCGACGCCGCGUGUGGGAUGACGGUCUUCGGAUUGUAAACCACUGUCGCGAGGGACGAAAAUCUGACGGUACCUCGAAAGGAAGCACCGGCUAACUCUGUGCCAGCAGCCGCGGUAAUACAGAGGGUGCGAGCGUUGUCCGGAAUCACUGGGCGUAAAGGGCGCGUAGGCGGCUUGGUAAGUAGGGAGUGAAAUCUCAUGGCUCAACUGUGAGGCUGCCUUCUAGACUGCUAGGCUCGAGCACAGUA